rnacentral:rRNA from 1 species
GUGGGGAAUCUUGCGCAAUGGGCGAAAGCCUGACGCAGCCAUGCCGCGUGAAUGAUGAAGGUCUUAGGAUUGUAAAAUUCUUUCACCGGGGACGAUAAUGACGGUACCCGGAGAAGAAGCUCCGGCUAACUUCGUGCCAGCAGCCGCGGUAAUACGAAGGGGGCUAGCGUUGCUCGGAAUUACUGGGCGUAAAGGGCGCGUAGGCGGACAGCUUAGUCAGAGGUGAAAGCCCAGGGCUCAACCUUGGAAUUGCCUUUGAUACUGGCUGUCUUGAGUUUGGGAGAGGUGAGUGGAACUCCGAGUGUAGAGGUGAAAUUCGUAGAUAUUCGGAAGAACACCAGUGGCGAAGGCGACUCACUGGCCCAAUACCGACGCUGAGGCGCGAAAGCGUGGGGAGCAAACAGGAUUAGAAACCCGGGUAGUCC